rnacentral:rRNA from 1 species
UAGAGCACUGUUUCGGCUAGGGGGCCAUCCCGGCUUACCAACCCGAUGCAAACUGCGAAUACCGGAGAAUGUUAUCACGGGAGACACACGGCGGGUGCUAACGUCCGUCGUGAAGAGGGAAACAACCCAGACCGCCAGCUAAGGUCCCAAAGUCAUGGUUAAGUGGGAAACGAUGUGGGAAGGCCCAGACAGCCAGGAUGUUGGCUUAGAAGCAGCCAUCAUUUAAAGAAAGCGUAAUAGCUCACUGGUCGAGUCGGCCUGCGCGGAAGAUGUAACGGGGCUAAACCAUGCACCGAAGCUGCGGCAGCGACGCUUAUGCGUUGUUGGGUAGGGGAGCGUUCUGUAAGCCUGCGAAGGUGGCCUGUGAGGGUUGCUGGAGGUAUCAGAAGUGCGAAUGCUGACAUAAGUAACGAUAAAGCGGGUGAAAAGCCCGCUCGCCGGAAGACCAAGGGUUCCUGUCCAACGUUAAUCGGGGCAGGGUGAGUCGACCCCUAAGGCGAGGCCGAAAGGCGUAGUCGAUGGGAAACGGGUUAAUAUUCCCGUACUUGGUGUUACUGCGAAGGGGGGACGGAGAAGGCUAUGUUGGCCGGGCGACGGUUGUCCCGGUUUAAGCGUGUAGGUGUGUGUUCCAGGUAAAUCCGGUU